AGCCUGAACGCUGGCGGCGUGGCUAAGACAUGCAAGUCGCACGGUGUAGCAAUACACAGUGGCGAACGGGUGAGUAAUGAAUCGCUAAUGUGCCCCGGACUUUGGGAUAGCUAGCCGAAAGGUUAGGUAAUACCAGAUGAUAUAACUUUGUCGCAUGACAGAGUUCUCAAAGGUCCGCCGGUCUGGGAGCAGGCGAUUUCGUAUCAGCUAGUUGGUGAGGUAACGGCUCACCAAGGCGACGACGCGUAGCCGGACUGAGAGGUUGGCCGGCCACAUUGGGACUGAGACACUGCCCAGACUCCUACGGGGGGCUGCAGUAACGAAUCUUCGCAAUGCACGAAAGUGUGACGGAGCGACGCCGCGUGUAGGAGAAGCCCGUUCGGGGUAGUAAACUACGUGUCGAGGGUUAAGAAAGUUCUAGAUACAACCCCAGACGGAAGGCACGGCUAACGUCUGUCGCCAGACGACCGCGUACGUAACUCGUACGA
rnacentral:rRNA from 1 species